GAUGAACGCUGGCGGCGUGCCUAAUACAUGCAAGUAGAACGCUGAAGGAAGGAGCUUGCUCUUUCCGGAUGAGUUGCGCACGGGUGAGUAACGCGUAGGUAACCUGCCUGGUAGCGGGGGAUAACUAUUGGAAACGAUAGCUAAUACCGCAUAACAGUAGAUGUUGCAUGAUAUCUACUUAAAAGGUGCAAUUGCACCACUACCAGAUGGACCUGCGUUGUAUUAGCUAGUUGGUGAGGUAACGGCUCACCAAGGCGACGAUACAUAGCCGACCUGAGAGGGUGAUCGGCCACACUGGGACUGAGACACGGCCCAGACUCCUACGGGAGGCAGCAGUAGGGAAUCUUCGGCAAUGGACGGAAGUCUGACCGAGCAACGCCGCGUGAGUGAAGAAGGUUUUCGGAUCGUAAAGCUCUGUUGUAAGAGAAGAACGAGUGUGAGAGUGGAAAGUUCACACUGUGACGGUAUCUUACUAGAAAGGGACGGCUAACUACGUG
rnacentral:rRNA from 1 species